GAUGAAGAACGCAGCGAAAUGCGAUACGUAAUGUGAAUUGCAGAAUUCAGUGAAUCAUCGAGUCUUUGAACGCACAUUGCGCCCCCUGGUAUUCCGGGGGGCAUGCCUGUUCGAGCGUCAUUUCACCACUCAAGCCUCGCUUGGUAUUGGGCAACGCGGUCCGCCGCGUGCCUCAAAUCGACCGGCUGGGUCUUCUGUCCCCUAAGCGUUGUGGAAACUAUUCGCUAAAGGGUGCUCGGGAGGCUACGCCGUAAAACAAACCCAUUUCUAAGGUUGACCUCGGAUCAGGUAGGGAUACCCGCUGAACUUAAGCAUAUCAAUAAGCGGAGGA
rnacentral:misc_RNA from 1 species